CUGGACCGUUGGAUUAAUCCAGAGGUCCAGAUCUGAAUCCCAAGAUCUCAUCACAACCAUAGGAUCUAAGAUCCAACGGUUAAAAAGUAAAGCACACAGUGUAGUAGCAAGAAAGCAGCGCACAGAAUUGAAAGGUAGUAUAAAAGCAAGGCUACAGGUUUUUAACUCAUUUCAAACCAUAAAACAUCUCUCUAAAAAAAAAAUUUGAGUUCUCCCUCUCACACUAAAAUGACAGCGCCCCCUACUUCUUCUUCUCCGGCGAGAUAAAUUUUCCGGCGCGGUGGCCGGUGGUGGCACCACCGCGCCGGAGUUUUAAACUCC
rnacentral:lncRNA from 1 species